ACACACACACACACACACACACACACACACACACGCGUGCUCGCGUUUAUGUGGUGCUAAGGAUCAAACCCAGUGCCUCACACAUGGUAGGUGAGUGUUCUACCUCUGAGCCACAACCCCAGCCCUUAAAUUUUAUUUUUAAUCAAGUCAUCAAAGCCUGAUGACCUACCUAUCUUCCCUAACAUUAAAUCUAAUUUUAACCAAUUACUUCUGCAGGGACAACAAUCAGAUUCAUAACUAAUUUUAAUUAAUAACUGAAUUAUUAAUUGCAUUUAUGAGCCCAUUCAUCAAAUAAAGGAAAACAAACUUUUACUGAAUGCACAGCACAUGCAAAGCAAUGUGAGCUAUAAAUAUAAAAAUAUGAAAAGGAUUACAUGUAUUUUUAAAAAUUCUAAGUUGCAUGUGGUGGUAUCCACCUGUAAUCUCAGUUAUUCAGGAGGGUGAGUUAGGAGGAUCACUUGAGCCCAGGAGUCCAGGGUCAACCUGGACAACAUAGUGGGAUCUCAUUACACAAAAAAUAUAAAUAAAAUACAAAAUAGGGAUGGAGAAGUGGCUCAAUGGUUGAGUGCCCCUGAGUUAAGUCCCUGGUACCCUUCUCCCUCCCCAAAUUACAAAUCAAUAAAACAACAAUUCAGUUAAAGAGUAAAGUUUAUAUUUGUUCUGUAUUUUAUCAUAAAACUGACUUUUACAAGAACAUUUCCUAUGAUUCUUCUUUAACUAUAAGGGUUUAAUAUCACACUCCAUGAACUAUAAUCUUUAAUUUCUAGGCUAUGGUGACUCCAAUGGAGGCAUAUUUUUUUCAUGCACUGUUAAAAGAAAUAGAAUUUUCUCAAACCCUAAGAUAUUUAACCCAACUACCACAAGUUCACCUCUACAAAAAUGCUAAUUAUUCUGAGUAGAAAAAACACUGUCACACUUUUUUUCUGCUUAAAAAUAAACAAUGAUUGUAUUGAAUUUUUUAAAAAACUACAAUUCUAUAACAGAGCUUACUUAUCUAUCAUGGUUAAUAAAUUAGUUCUUAACCCCACAGCAAGUAUAGCAAACUCCACUUGUGAUUUUUUUAGAGAGUAAAAGCACAAAACACCUUAUUUAUCUCUGUGCUGACAGUAAGGCACAGGCAAUUAAGCCCUUGAAGAACUCAAGCUCCAGAAACAAGUAAGAUCCAAGUUUGCAUCUUGACUGUGCCACUAACUAGCCACAGGAACCACCACUUCACUAAAUCUGUUUCCAAAUCUGAGCACUGGUAUUAUUUUCUACUUUAUAGAAACAUUGUAAAGAUUGAGAUUGUAACCAAAAAGCACUGCACAACAGGUGCUCCACGUGUGUCAUCAUUAUUAUAAAUGAAGUCUACAUUAUCUAUUUUAAAGGGACAUUUGGCUUCCUGAACUUAUAGUAAUUAAACUCAUUGGCCUGGGCUCCAUGAGAUCCUGGCCUCUUUGAAUGGGGAUGGACUGGCUCAGUGCCUUCAAUAGAUGAACCCUACAAUCAAUACAGUUGAUUGUAGGGUUUAUCUACUUCCCUGAAAUAGCUACUGAACUCAAAUCCUUACUUCAAUGGUUUCUCCUAUGCUACUCAUUACCUUACAAACUAUUUCUCCAAUACCCUGUUGUCAAUUUAGAAAAAAAGUUCUGACUCAAGAAAAUGGGUUCCUCUGAAAUCUAAUAUGUGCUCCACAAAAAAGACCGAGAGUUCCAAUUAGUGACAGGGAAGUCUAAACAUGGGAGUACUUGUGCUUUCAGUUUGGUAUAUCAGUGGGCCUGAUCAGAUGAGCCAGUCAACUCUGUACCCUGUUUUUUUUUUUUUUAAGCUGUUGAUAGACCUUUAUUUUAUUUAUUUAUUUAUAUGUGGUGCUAAGAAUUGAAUCCAGUGCCUCACACAUGCCAGGCAAGUGCGCUACCACUGAGCCCCAGCCAAGCUCUUCCAUAGAAAUGAAGUGGUUUCACUUCUCUACAGCUCUAAAAGUUCUGGAUAUCAGGAAUUCCACUUUGGGAAUUUUUGAUCUAAGACUCUGUUCUGAACUACUGCAAAAACACAUGUCUAAAGAUGUCCAUGAACAUCUUCGUUCCCUGAAGCUUUGCCUCCAACAAUAUAAAUCUGAGAGCAACAAUGUCCAACUUAAGAACUAUGAGAAUAUUUUGUGAAGGUAUUUAAAACACAGGAAUGCUAUUUAAUGACAUAAGCAAAAGUUUUAAAACUACUGGAAAAACCAGGUUAAAUCAGUAUGAUACCAAUAUAUUUAAAGAUAUGUGCAUUAAACUAUGGUCAUCCAUCUCAAUGGUGAACUUUGAAUGAGUUUUCAUUUUCUUUAGAGUGUCUUUAUUUUCUAAUAAGUAUAUAGUACUAUUGUUUUAACAAAGAAGUCUAAAAAGUAAUGCCUGUAAGUAACGAAAACAAGUGGUUAUCUUUUUACUGCAGCAAGCAUGUAUAUCUCUUAUGUAGAAGAACAAUGAAAGGCAUUGCUGAGGAGCUCUGAGAAAAACAAGGCCCAAAAAUGUCACCUGUGACACUGGCAUAGAAUGUGAUGGUAUUAAGAAAGUAGAAAUCUCAUCUGGCAAAGACCAUCCAAGGAAGAGGCAUAUCAUAUUGAGCCACUUUUCAGAGCUCACUAUUGGCUUGAUAGGCCCAGCCCCACCUAACUUUUUACCUCCAUAGACUCCUGUCUGAGAACUACAUUCAGGCCCCUCACUCCUCAUUCCAUCUGUUUAGGACCCAUUCUCAUAGACUAGUAUGUAUGAAUUGACUUCUUUCAUCAUCACCACAAAAAUGAACCCUGAAACCUGAUUUGAAACUUGAUGGACCUACAUUGUGAUCCUCCUCAACCUAAUCCCUACACCUGUGCAUUUUAUUUUUUACCUGCAAUAAACCCGCAAUAAGGAUAUUUAACAUCCUGAAAAAUUCACUGAAAAUCUGGUAUUUGGAUGGAGGGUCUCCAUUAACCAACUUACAGUUUACAGAUAUCUGUAAAGUUGACAAAAGAAGUUUUCUUGGUUCCUACUCGGACAACCUGUGGAGGUUUCAUAACAAAUUUUCUUUUUUCUCCAGCAACCAUAUCUGGAUUCUUUUCCCUCAUGAUGUUGAACACUCGAUUCAGUAGCUAUAGGGAUAAAGUGGUAUUCAAGCACAUUCUUAGUAAUAGCAGGGGUAUAAAGUUCACAUUUGAGUCACUGCUUUAAUGGAGCAUAUUUCUUUACUUUUCUUGUGUGUGCACCCUCUGUUUAUUGAGAUAUAACUGAUAAAUAAAACUGUACAUACUCAUGGUAUACAAUGUGAUGAUUUGAUAUAUAUAUUGUAAAAUGAUUACCCUAGUCAAGUUAGUUAAAAUAUCCAUCACCUCACUUACUUUUCCUCUUCCCACUCACCCAUGAAAGAACACUUAGAACCUACUCUUAGCAAAAUCAAGUUAACAUCACAAUAUGAUUAACUAAAGUCAUCAUGCUUUACAUUAGAUCUCUAGACAUUAUUAUAAUUAAAGGUAUUUACCCCUUUGCCAACACCUCUCCAUUUCACCCAUCCUCCAACCCUGCCAACCACCUUUCUAUUAUUUCUACGAGUUUGAUUUUUUUUAAAUUUCACAUAAGGGAGAUCAUGCAGUAUGUGUCUUUCUAUAUCUGACCUAUUUCAGUGAGCAUAUUUCCUCCAAGUUCAUCCACAUUGUCACAGAUGGACAUAUUUCACUUUUUACUAAAUAUACACAAACAUCACUAAAUGUUCUAGAAGCUCCCUGAAGGCAGGAACUCAUCACCAACCAGGAUCUAUCUGUCCCAAUAAAGAUGGUGAGUGAUUCCAUUACAGAUAGUGAUUCUUUCUUGUCCAAAGUAAACGCACACAACUAAUUCUGCUAUGUUUAAAGAAAAGUAUAUGAUCUGUGGAAGAUUCAAGCAACUCCAGACUACCCUGGUUCCAAAUUAGUCAUUCUGUCACCAAUGCCACUCUAAUCCUCAGGCUCCAUACCUCAGAAGUCCCUGAACACAGAUGGGAAUAGUGAGUAUUACAAUGACUGUCACAUUCUAGGCAGGCUGCCCACAGGUAGGCAUCAGAAAAUGCUAUGAACUGGCUGUGACCUCUCUGUCUCUGUUUUACCAUCAACCUGUAUCUCAAGGGCCCUUCCAAUUUGAGGAUCAUUUACCUUGUUUUUCUUUGUGUGCACGGUUUGGUGGAGUCAAUCUGGGCACUCUACCACUAAACCACAUCCUCAGCCCUUUUUACUUUUACUGAGAUUAUAGGUGUGCACCACUGUGACCAGCUAUCAUGUUUUUAAGUUCUAGUGAACAGCUUAGCCCCUUCUUGUAAGAGAAUUUGUCUUACCUCCUCAUAGGUGUAGUCUCUUUCUGAGCCUGCCCAAGCAGGACCUGUCUGGUUACUGAAUGAGAUCCCAUCAUCUUUUUUGCUAUCUUCAUCUUCUACAGCUACAGAUAACAAAGAUUGUAAGAAUGGGGGUGGAUUCUAUUAUACCAACAGAGGGGGAGGGGGCUUCAAAGACAUUUGUGGUCCCUUUCACUAAGGCAUUCAUUCAUGACAGCCGUAAGCAUAAAGAGACCAAGGAUCACAAACAAUCCCCUUUCCCUUAAAGGCAAGGAUGUUAUGAAAUGCAUAAGACCCUUAAUAUAUAUAUUAAUGUUAACACAUGGUGAAAUGUUUCUUGACUUAACAAAUACAACGAAAUAACUGCUAGAAUAAUUGCUAGCUAUAAAUAAUUAGAAGGAAAAGAGUUUAAUUUUGAAAGCAUUUAAGAAACUUCCACAUCCAUAAAAACCCAUCUGAUGACUAUAUGAAAAAUUCUCUAAAAACUAUAGUAUUUAAAAACUGAUAAAACUGAACUUUAAAAGAAGUCCCCUAGCCCCAAUCAAGGAGAUGAAGAGCCAAGCGUCAAGCCUAGAAGAGAUGUUGAGUCCCCAAUAUUACCUUCAUCUUUCUCUAAUAUUUCAUCCUCAUCUGGGAACUUGACAUUCUUCUUUUUCUUCUUUUUAUUGCCAAGCAUAAUAUCAAGAUCAUCCUCUGGUUCAGCUGGCUCUUGAACAUCACUUUCAAUCUUAAGAUCCUAAGAAAUUGAGAAAAGUCUCAACAUUUUGAUACUAGGGCAAUAGUUUUUAAUUAAAAAGACAGUGGCCUACCAUCAUUUUAGAGCAAAAACAAUCAAAUAUUCAAAGCUAAAGUUACAGAUAAGAAAUACCUCUCACAAGUGGGAAAAACUGGCUCAGGGAUUAUCAUUAAAACCAUAAAUUUCUCAAAAUACUUUGUGGGAUCUUUUCCCUCCUCUUUUUUAUUCUUCAGGCUUGGGAAUCUUAUUAUUCAUGUUUCCAAAACAGGCUACUAUCAGAACCAUCUGGUUCUGAUAAAAAAUUAAAGAAAAUUCUUUAAUCUUCUGACAAUCUUUAGUGGAAAAGGACUGAGGGUUUUUUUUAUAAGUUUCUGACUAAAUAUGAUGCAGUUAGUGGGUAAUUCUCCUGCUGAAACCAAAUACGUGAUGUUUUUCCACAACAAUUCUCUAAUAUCAACUAGACAUCCUCCAAUUAAAUUUUGAUACUAUCUGGAGUUACUGUCAGACUCCAAAGGUUUAAAGGCUCAGUUUCAUAGUUUAUCGAUUCUCACUCCAGAUGGUAGUAACAAGUAUCAGGUUCCCAAAGUUACCCACACUGACUUGUCUACAAAUUCAGAGGUUCCCACAAUGCCUUCCCCAAAUUCAAUCAUUUGCUAAAAUGACACACAGAACUCAAAAAAAGUGCUUUAUUUACCAGUUUUAUUACAAGGGAUACAACUUAAAAAAAAAAAAAAGCCAAAGGGAAGCAAUCCAUAGGGACAAAAUGUGGGGAGAUGGGAACAUGUCAAGGAAGGCAUGUCUCUAGGCAUGCCACCCUCCCAGCACUUCAAUGAGGCCACCAACCUGGAAGUUCUCUGAACUCCAUUACUUAAAGUUUCAUUAAAAAUGUGUAAUUUACUAAAUCAAUGGCCACUGGCAAGCCAAAAGAACUCAAUCUCUAGACCGUCCAUCCUCAGAAGUGGCAGGGAUCAAGGAAAGUUCCAAUCCUCUAAUCAUGGCUUGAUCUGCCUGAUGACCAGCCCCUAUCUCAAGCUAUCUAGGGGCCUCCUAGUAAUCAGUCUUUUCAUUAGCAUACGAAAGAUAUUUAUCAUUUUGAAGACUGCCAACAGUUAAAAGACAAAUAUCUCUUUUAUUACACCACUUCAGCUUGGCAACAGGCUGGAGAAGUCCUUAAUCAGCAUUUCUAUAGAUGACAUCACGAAAGAGGGAAAGAUAGACCCCCCCACCCACAGGGAAUUAGGAUCUUAUGAUGAAUGGAUGCAGACAAGGUACAGCUUGACCAAGAUUAGCUGCUAGAGGUAUGGAUGUUAAAUAGGGCAUGUUAGAGAUGAAUCAUAAACACCUCUGGAAAAAAAAAGGGCCUACCUCAGUCUCCAGCCUUUUAAUUACUUCCUCUUCUCACCAGCUUACCCAACUCCUAUUCCAAGUAUACUGUCAACAUUAGCCACAAUUCUAUUUUUUGUGUACCUAUACUCUGAACUACUAUGACAAUGCUAUGGUAAUUUCAGAAACCUUAUCAGCAGAAAAGUUGGAAGAGAUGAGUAAACAAAAUUCAGACUUGGGAUCCCAAAUCCAGUUCUGUAAUCUGGUGUCACACUAAUCAACCCAUUGUAUUAGCUAGGUAUACUAAAACAGGAAACUAGAUAUUGAUCUAGUCUCUAAGAUGAUAGUAAAUGAGAAAUGUAGAAAUUUGAAUUUAAAUUAGCACAUACUGGCUAGCUUUUAGUCCUAUGCUCCUAUUGACUUAAUCCUAAUAAUUAGAUCUACCUCUAAACUAAGGCCAAGAAACAGUAAGAGGCAGACACAAGCAAAAAUUGUUUUUCAGGUGGUUCAAAAGUCCUGGAAUGGUCAGAAAAUUCAGGUGGGAGCGUAACUUAUGACCUCAAAAACAUUUCAGCUUCAAGAUCGAUAUCCAUGCCUUUCUUGCUUCAUGACCAGGAUACCUGUAACAUCUUCCUAAGGUUAUGACUUCAAUAACAGAGAAAAAAAUGUAUCCAAGCACUUACAAGUGGAGCUUAUUAGUGACUCUUGAGGACAAAAGCUACUAGAAGUAACAAAUAUGCCCACUCAUGUCCCAAGGGCAUUUCAUGACUCAAAGAAUAAACUGCUUUAACAGCCUAUGAAGCAUUUUGUCCUUCCAUCUGUAAUGACCCAGUUUUUAUUAAAGUUGGACACAUUAUUGACGUGAAUAACAAAAUAUAAUCCAUACAGAACAUGAGAGAAAAAAAAAAGAAUCAACUAACAAAACUUUGUUAAUUUCUGUGGCACA